GGUAAUAAUUUAAAAUAAAAUAUUUAAAUUGCAAUUAAAAAAUGAUAUAAAUAUCUUACCU
rnacentral:tRNA from 1 species